CUGGGAUACCACUUGGAAACAGGUGCUAAUACCGGAUAACAACAAUAGCUGCAUGGCUAUUGCUUAAAAGGCGGCGAAAGCUGUCGCUAAAGGAUGGACCCGCGGUGCAUUAGCUAGUUGGUAAGGUAAUGGCUUACCAAGGCGACGAUGCAUAGCCGAGUUGAGAGACUGAUCGGCCACAUUGGGACUGAGACACGGCCCAAACUCCCACGGGAGGCAGCAGUAGGGAAUCUUCCACAAUGGGCGAAAGCCUGAUGGAGCAACGCCGCGUGAGUGAAGAAGGUUUUCGGAUCGUAAAGCUCUGUUGUUGGUGAAGAAGGAUAGAGGUAGUAACUGGCCCCUAUUUGACGGUAAUCAACCAGAAAGUCACGGCUAACUACGUGCCAGCAGCCGCGGUAAUACGUAGGUGGCAAGCGUUGUCCGGAUUUAUUGGGCGUAAAGCGAGCGCAGGCGGAGAGAUAAGUCUGAUGUGAAAGCCCCCGGCUUAACCGAGGAAUUGCAUCGGAAACUGUGUUUCUUGAGUGCAGAAGAGGAGAGUGGAACUCCAUGUGUAGCGGUGGAAUGCGUAGAUAUAUGGAAGAACACCAGUGGCGAAGGCGGCUCUCUGGUCUGUAACUGACGCUGAGGCUCGAAAGCAUGGGUAGCGAACAGGAUUAGAUACCCUGGUAGUCCAUGCCGUAAAC
rnacentral:rRNA from 1 species